UAAUACGAGGGGUGCAAGCGUUAAUCGGAAUUACUGGGCGUAAAGCGUGCGUAGGUGGUUUGUUAAGCAAGAUGUGAAAGCCCCGGGCUCAACCUGGGAACUGCAUUUUGAACUGGCAGACUAGAGUAUUGUAGAGGGUAGUGGAAUUUCCAGUGUAGCGGUGAAAUGCGUAGAGAUUGGAAGGAACAUCAGUGGCGAAGGCGGCUACCUGGACAAAUACUGACACUGAGGCACGAAAGCGUGGGGAGCAAACAGGAUUAGAUACCCUGGUAGUCCACGCCGUAAACGAUGUCAACUAGCCGUCCGUGGUCUUGAACCGUGGGUGGCGUAGCUAACGCGCUAAGUUGACCGCCUGGGGAGUACGGCCGCAAGGUUA
rnacentral:rRNA from 1 species